CAGCACAGGAUCCUGAGUCAAGGACACGCGGGGACACAGAGAAGUCCCCAGGAGAAACCUGGCUUCCUUGCCUUUCUGUCCUGCUGUGUGCCAGGCCCCGAGGGCAUCCUGCCGGGGAGACAAGCCUCGCAGGGUGAAAAGUGCCCAAAGACAGCAAAUGCCAGCUGCCGUGCCCAGAAUCCUGACACUGGCAUUGUGCCACACAGCGUGCGCCCGAGGUGCCCUCGCCGAGGACUCGGGACGGAGUCACGGUGCCCCUGCUUUGGAAACAAAGACACGAGACCCACCUUCUGCCUGGAGAGCCGACUCCCCUCGGGGAAUCUUUCAGGUCAAGUUCAAACAUCACCCCCUCUGAUCUGAAGUGAAGACCCCCCCUUUGGGCUGUGACCCUCCACCUCAAGUGUGAGUUGUGCUCAGACACAGGAAGCUUCAGCAGCCGGGAGCCCGUCUCCUCCCCCUCCUCCUCCUCCUCCUCCCAGUUUGAGGGCAGGGACCCCCCCCCCCCAUUCGCCACCCCUUCUCCGUCCCGGUAGAGCAGGCGGUGGGCGCUCAGUGGACACCCACAGUGAGGACAGCAAGUCCCGCUCGGCUCCCAUGCUUGUGCACUGUCUGGGGGCCGAACAGGCCCUCGCGGCUGUAGGGACGGGGGGCCUCUGCACCCACCCGCCCCCUCCACCCACAGCAAAAGCAGAGCCAGGGCGUCUAGAUGAUCAGGGUGUCCGGUCACCCAGCCCAGCGCCCCCUCCUGGAAGCCUGCCGAGCACAGACUGGGGAAGGAGGGGUGGAAACACCAAAGUCAAUUCUCCCCCACUUGCUAGUGAGGCCCCGGGCCUCCCUCUGCCUUGCUUCAUGGUCUAACGCUCUUUGUUCCGGAAGCAGGCCCGUGCGGCGGCCCGAGCGGGGACUAGCGUUGCUGACGGAGAGCUCAGCGAGCCUACCGUACGUCACAGGGGCUGAGAAGGCUCGGGCCCCGAAAGAGAGACAGAGAUGGCCACUCUGCGUGCCCGUCCCCUCUGCUUCGAGGCAGGGAGGGGUCCCAGAGCGAGUGCCUGCCCCCAGGAGGUCCCGCACUCCGUGCCUCGGGGACUUGGUGGCACAGCGGACAUCUCUGAGAUCCGAAGGGACUCCCCUGGCCCACAGGCGGCUCCGCGAGGCUGGGGAAGAAGUCAGGAGCGUCAGAAAGCCUUGGCACGGAGGCCCCAGGGUCCCGACAGCCCCGGGGCAGGAAGGGGAAGCCAGGGCACGGCCCCUCCAGAACAGCCCCGAAUGGUCUGUUGUCUCGGCUGGGCCUCCGCGGGACCUCAUACCCCACCGCACGAUGCCAAGGUCACGAGGCGGCCCCCCUCUGCGGCACCGGGCAGGCGCAUUACGUUUGGCCCACACGACGGCUUGAAGCAGAAUUUUGUUUUAAUUUUUAAAAAUCGGCCGUUGGCAGAGUUUACAUAAAAUUCAGCAUUUCUGCUCUUGCACGGUUCUCCGAGCUGGCGACGCGGUGCCUCUCUUUCUGCUUGGCCACGCGCAGCUGGAGCUCUACUGGCGGUGCCCCCUUCCGACCGGAAGGUCAAGGGCGUUGGAUCUGUGGCCACCGAGCCUCGGCUUCCACCUGCCCAGCCCUCAGACUGCUCUCAACCUCCUCGCUCAGGAAGGAGGCUGAGCACAGUGCAUUUGCCCACCUCCCUUGACCGCCACCCGGACCGAUCCGGUGGGCUCGGCCAGCGAGGCCGCCCUGGGAGCCGCUGUGGCCGGGUGAAUGCGAAGUCAGACGUCUUCGAGGGAUGGCACCAAGGCAGGCUACCGGCCAGGGGGGCCCCGCACCUGCCCGCCGCCACGGUGGCGAGCACUCUGGAAUGCUCUCCGGAGCCCCGAAGGCCAGGUGCAAAAGCGUCUCUCUCCUUGCCCCUCAAGCGUAGAUAAUGCCUCCGACGGAGCGCCCGGAAGGCGCGGUCCAGACGUCGGACACUGGCCGUCCCAAACUGCGCUUGGCUCAGCAGUCACCGGUGGGGAGGCCUGGUGGCUUUCUUUUCCAACUCACGUAACGCCUCAGAGACCCCACCUCUCGGGCUGGGUUGUAUAGAUGGUGCCGUGAAUGUGGAGGGGCGUCUCUGUGCAUGUGGGUACAGCGGCGGGUCUGUGGGCACGGCGGCGGGUCUGUGGGCACGGCGGUGGGUCUGUGGGCACAACGGCGGGUUUGUGGGCACAGCGGCGGGUCCGUGGGCACGGUGGCGGGUCUGUGGGCACAGUGGUGGGUCUGUGGGCACAACAGUGGGUCUGGUCUGUGGGCACAGCAGCGGGUCCGUGGGCACAGCGGCGGGUCCGUGGGCAUGGUGGCGGGUCCGUGGGCACGGUGGUGGGUCUGGUCUGUGGGCACAGUGGUGGGUCUGUGGGCACAACGGUGGGUCUGUGGGCACAGCGGCGGGUCCAUGGGCACUGUGGCGGGUCUGUGGGCACAGUGGUGGGUCUGUGGGCACAACAGUGGGUCUGGUCUGUGGGCACAACAGUGGGUCUGGUCUGUGGGCACAGUGGAGGGUCCGUGGGCACGGUGGCCGGUCUGUGGGCACAACGGUAGGUCCGCCAGCCUGCAGUGCUCCGCGCCGUCUGGGGACAGGGAAGGAGCCGGGCUCUGGGGGUGUCCACCGCUGUGCACCGGGCCCAGCCAUCCCUGCCCAAGGUGCCUCUAUGCUGACACUGGCACUCGGACGCUGGCCGGCGUCCCGUCCUAGUCACCGAGGGUGUGGGAGACGGGAGGGGCCGUCCAGCCCGCAGCUACUAACUGCCCUUCCCUCUUUAGAGUCCUUGAAAGCGUUGGCUUCUUUUCCGCUCAACUUAAGGCCAUCUUCUUGUACCCUGCUAACGCCUUCUCUCCUCCGAUCCCAGCAAGCAAGACUCAAAUGAACAGACGAGGCCUGAGAAUAUGUGCAAAGGUCCUGUGCUCAGGACAGGGUGAAGGAAGUGAAGGGUGUGUCAAAAGCACAGAUGCUACAAUAUUCCUUUCAUUGAUCCUGAUAAGCGCGACCCUAAGGAGGGGCAGCCCGCACAGGGUUGACGGUGGGAGGCGGGGCCAGCAGGUGCCUCCUGCCCACCGCCAGCCCUCCCCCCCUCCCCGCCCCCCCCCGCCCCCCCCCCCCCCCCCCCCGUCUCCCAGGAGGACGUGUAGGAGCAGACGACCGUCCUCGGGGAAGACGAAGCGGUGUCCCUUCGGAGCCGGCGUGGAGCGACACGGGCGGACGGGGCAGCGCCUCAUGGUUCUGGCGUCGGGCAGACCAAUCGCGCCGGCCCGCGGCCAGAGCCAGGCUGCCACACGGAUGCAAACCGCGUUCCUACCAGCUUCCCCGGUGCCGGUGCUGCUGCUGGUCCCGGAGCCCCACGGGCCGGAUCCGCCGUGCAGAGAAGGGCCCUUCCACCUCCACAGACACCGCCCCAUCUGUAUUCUAGAAGCUUCCAUGGAGGGGGACAGAGGGUAAGGGGGAGAGCAGGGUUUUGAAUCUCGGCCCAAAUCCUAUUAACCGGCAAUGCAGCUUGAGCAAUUUACUUAACCUCUCUGUGCCUCGGUUUCCUCAUGGGCAAACCCGGAGGGCUGAUGAGUGCACUGAGCGGGUCAGCGCGGGGAAGGGGGGGAGGGCGGUGGUAUUAGAGACGUGAUAUCAUGGAAAGCACUGGGAGGCGCCUGUGCACAGAGCCGCCAACAGCCCUUCUGCUGGUUGAGAGGGUGAACUGACUUCAAGCUCAUACACUCCCUCCUCGCUGACCCAAGCCCCUUGGUCUGUAGCAGAAAUAACGUACUUUGCUGGAGGUUUGCAGACCGCUGGCCUUGAAGGUGAAGGACGACAACAAGGCCCAACCACAUUGAAAAACGGCCAAGAAUGCCAGCACGUCGUUCAGGGUCACCUCGACAUACGAGUGACCCCCUGGGCACCCGCUCCUGCACGCAGCCCCCUCCCUGUUCCCGCGCCUUCCUCUUCCCAACCCUCCGGCUCGUCCUGGACAAGGGAGGCAGUCUCGGAGGCAUGAGCCCACCGUCCUCCCAGGUUGCCGGCUUCCCGGCUGCAGCAAACGUGUCCUUUCCUCUCCCAACGUCACUCACUGUCUCUCGGGUGCUGACUUUCCGGUGGUGAGCAGCAGAACCUGAGUUCGGAACCGCUUCUCUGUCCGAUGACCAGACGGAGGUCCAGCAUCAGCCGCUGUGACUUCUAGCCCUCUGCGGGGAGGGUCCUGGCCGAGCACCUGGGGGUCGGGCCCCGACCCCACCCGGCCGCCUGUGGGACCUCGUGCUCCGCUGCUCCCAGCAGCUGCUGGGAUUCAUUCAAAAACAGCCACUGCUGGUUUGGCUCGUGCAUCUGGAGGGUGAGUGGGCUCGGCUGGUGCUUUUCCCUGGGAGCUGUGUCGUCUCGCUUGGGGGCUCAAGGGUCACAGAGAGGGUCCCGGGAGAGACCAGCCUCAGCUGGGUGCAGGGGGAGGGGCUGUGGGCUCCACCUGCUGUGGGGGAGGGUCCCCGAGUCUGCAGGCACGUUUACGGACACCCCGACGCUCUGUGCCUUCCUCCCCUGCUCCUUUCCACCACCUGCUCCCCUGAAACGCCACCUGCCCGCCCCACUGCGCCAGUCCUGCCCACUGCCCACGGCCCUUGGCUCACCCCCCCUCCAGUCUCUUCCUUUGUCCCUCCCCCCUGUGCCACCAAACCCCACAGCCUCCUGUGCUGGUGACCGUGGCUCCCAGGGUUGGUCCUCAGUGACUGCACUGAGCAGACAAGCAAACGGAGACACGAGGAACCGCGUGACAAGCCAACAGAGACACCAGGAACCGUGUGCACGGGGGCAGAAGCCGCGGGAGCCACUAAGAGGCUGGUGACGUGCCUGGCACCCCAGCUAGGUGUGACUUCCUUCGUUUAUAUUUUUCAGUAUUUCCCAGAACUUCUACAAAGCACAUCCGUAACUUGAGUCAUCGGAAAAUUAUUUUCCAGGAGAAAGUACGCUUUAAAAAUAGAUGGUAAACGUUUCUUGCCCUGAAUCCAAAGCACUCGGCUACUAAGCUAUUAAAAUCUCCGUCCUGCAAAGAGGCUAACUGUCUGUGAUUCCAAAGUUCACUCUACAUAAAGGUGACAAAAAUACCGUGUGACAGAUCAAAGGAAAUCCGAAAGGCUCUCUCUGGUGUGUCGAUGGAAACUGGAGCGCUCCUAGGCCUCCGUUGUGAGGGAGAGACGGUUAAAAGGCACAAUCACAUUAAACCUACAAGCAGGGUUCUUUCCGCACACGGGCGUCGCUGUGCGUCCUUCUGUGAUUUCUGUGAUUUUCUGGGCCGUGACGGCGGAGGCCACGCCGGCCUGACCGCGAGGCUUUGGCCACAGGCAGUGCGGACAGCCGGCUGCGCCGUGACUUGUGUGCAAACCAGCUGACUGUGACAUGCCCUUGUGUGAAGCCUGCGUAGGAGUUCACGGGCGUCUCCCUGGAGCCACAAGGGGACAAGGGGCGUCCCUGUUUCUGCCCAGGGAGGGCGGGGGACUCUGAGGGAUUCCUAGUGUAGACCAAGUGAGUGUGCCGGCCGCCCUCAUUCCCCAGGCAGGGACCGCAAUCCUCCAACGGCAGACGCUGGGCUUUAGUGCGCCUGGUCACCUCUGGCGGAGUUUGUAAAAAGUGUGCAUUGCCAGCUCUGGGCUGGGAAGUUCUGCUUCCGGGUUGGAGGCCGGGCCUCUGAAUGUGCACUUGGUAACGAGCCUCCGGAGGGGGUGUCUGAGAACUUCUCUGCACCAUUCUUGCGACGUAAGCUCUGUUCUCAUCGUCAGAUUCAGACUCAGUCACACUUCUCUUCCUAAAAUUUAAGAGGUCAAAGGGCGCCCGGGGGGCUCUGUCGGUUCAGCGUCCGACUUCGGCUCGGGUCAUGAUCUCACGGUUCCC